GAUCCUGGCUCAGAUUGAACGCUGGCGGCAUGCUUUACACAUGCAAGUCGAACGGCAGCAUGGGCUUCGGCCUGAUGGCGAGUGGCGAACGGGUGAGUAAUACAUCGGAACGUGCCUGGUAGUGGGGGAUAACUACUCGAAAGAGUAGCUAAUACCGCAUGAGAUCUACGGAUGAAAGCGGGGGAUCGCAAGACCUCGCGCUACCAGAGCGGCUGAUGGCAGAUUAGGUAGUUGGUGGGAUAAAAGCUUACCAAGCCGACGAUCUGUAGCUGGUCUGAGAGGACGACCAGCCACACUGGGACUGAGACACGGCCCAGACUCCUACGGGAGGCAGCAGUGGGGAAUUUUGGACAAUGGGCGCAAGCCUGAUCCAGCAAUGCCGCGUGCAGGAUGAAGGCCUUCGGGUUGUAAACUGCUUUUGUACGGAACGAAAAGGCUCUCUCUAAUACAGAGAGCCGAUGACGGUACCGUAAGAAUAAGCAC
rnacentral:rRNA from 1 species